GGACUCACAUCAACUAGCGGCACACAUUCAUAAUAAUAGUCCUUCCACUAUGAACAUGCAAAGGGAAUUUAGAACAGCUAGUGUCUUACAGAGUAGAGUAUAGAAAGAAAUGUAAAUGAACAAGUAUGUGUAACUGGUUUGGUGUAUUGAAAAGCCUAUAACAGUUGUGAUGUUCCUGGUUUUCUGUGUUGCAGGAGUGGCGUCACGCUCAUGGCAUGCGCUGUUUGGGCAUUCCUAACACAGCCCACUUCGCCAACAUCACCCAGAUUGAGGACGCAGUGUCCCUCUGGUCAAAGCUGAAGUCACAGAAAGCAUUAGAGCGCUGGCAGCCAGACACAGAGGAGGAAUAUGAAGACUCCAGCGGAAACGUGGUCAACAAGAAGACUUUUGAGGAUCUGAAUCGACAGGGGCUUCUGUAGCUCAACAAACAAGAGUCUGAACACACAAAACACUCACAGCGUGAAUACUGAAGCAGAAAUGAGAAAGAGUUUAGUCCUCUUGUGUUUCCCACAGUUUGGGAGGAAUUUGAUUUGUCUUUUUGAUAAUGAGCCGUUUGUACAUUUGUAUUACUCUUUCAUUAUUCCUUAUUUUUGCAUUUACUGUCUUAAAUGUGAAACAGAGACUUUCAUUAAUCAAUCAAGUUUAGUACGUUUUGUGAACAAUGUUUUCUUGUGGAGCCUGCUGUUUUUAACCAGUCUGGAGACUUUAAACCUGCUGUAGAAUAAAAUCAAACCGUGAGAUGGUUUUA